GGACGGACUGUAAAUUCGUUGUGCAAUAUGCCGACGCUGGUUCAAAUCCAGCUCGACCCA
rnacentral:tRNA from 1 species